rnacentral:rRNA from 1 species
AACGCGAAGAACCUUACCUGGAUUUGACAUCUCUUGACAACCCUAGAGAUAGGGCUUCUGUAGCAAUACAGCAAGAAGACAGGUGCUGCAUGGCUGUCGUCAGCUCGUGUGGUGACAUGUUGGGUUAAGUCCCGCAACGAGCGCAACCCUUGUCCUUAGUUGCCAGCAUUAAGUUGGGCUCUCUAAGGAGACUGCCGUGGUUAACACGGAGGAAGGUGGGGAUGACGUCAAGUCCUCAUGGCCUUUAUAUCCAGGGCGACACACGUGAUACAAUGGACGGUACAAAGGGAAGCCAAGUGGCAACACGGAGCUAAUCUCAAAAAGCCGUUCUCAGUUCGGAUUGGAGUCUGCAACUCGACUCCAUGAAGUUGGAAUCGCUAGUAAUCGCGGAUCAGCACGCCGCGGUGAAUACGUUCCCGGGCCUUGUACACACCGCUCGUC